rnacentral:misc_RNA from 1 species
AAAUUCUCACUUUCCCUUUCCCUCUACUUCUCAAUCUCUAUCUGUCUCUUCUUCUUCUUCCUUCUCUGAUCUGCCUUCUUCCUUUCUUCCCCCUUUCUUCUAAUUUCCUCCCCACUUUCCUCUGUUUUCUGUUGGUGGCUCUGCCACAACCAUUUGUUUUCUUUGGAGCAACAAGAUCAAUAGGACCCAACGAUAGCAGAGAUUGCGAAUUUGAAGUUGGCGAAGAAAAAGCAAACCAUGGAAGACGCAUGGAUCCAGAUUCUUGCAGACCACAUGCAAUCUUUGGAGCAGAGGUUUCAAGAUGUGAAACAAGAAAUGCGUAAUCUCAAUCAGGAAAUGCAUUUCAAGAUUGAGAGUCAUACAAAGAGGUUGGAGGAUUUGAUAAUGGAGGAGCACCAAAUAAGUCAAGAAGAAUUGAAUCGCAUAUUUGAUCAGUUGUUGGAGAUGAUUCGAGUUUCACAGUCAAGGGGAAAGGAACCUUUUCUUCCAACUGUUCCUCAGGUAAUAUUGGAAACCAAUUGAAAUGUGAAUGGAACUAGGGGUAUUUUGCCUUUACCAAAUUCUGGGGUUAGAGAAGAUGGGGAUUCAAGUAAUGGGUUUUUAUCAAGUCUAAGAAGCUACAAAUAUUGAUUCUGCAUUCAAGGACGUUGAUGAACAGAAAUUUGAAGAAAAAAUUAACAUACUUGUUGCCGUUAAAUCUGAUGAAAUUCUUAAGAAUGAUCAUGGAGUGUUGGAUAAAUUUUAUUCUACUCCAAGAAAUUUUACAUUAGAAUUUUUCUUGUUGAUGAGUUUGUUCUUGAUAAGGGGAGAAAUGAACCAGUGAAAGAAAGUUGUGAAAGAAGCCAUCAGUCUUGUGGUGGAUGAUUUGGAAUUGCAAUUGAAUGAUCAUUUGAUUCUUAAAGAAGAUGGGUUUGAAAUGUGGAGAAGGCAAAGGAAGAAGAUGAAUCUUGCCAAUAUAGGACCUCUGCCAUGAUGGUGUUUGAAAAAAUGACUAAAUUGCCUUUAUUGAAGUUGCAGUGUUCAGUUUCAACAAUUAUGAGAAAAGAGGACGUGAUGGAGCAGCAGACUGCGAAUUUUGUUUUUCAAUCCUUGUUCGUCCUUGAGGACAAGGAUGAUCUUCGCGGGGAGGGUAAUGCUAGGAUUGUUGUAGUUGUGCUAGUGUGUGUGUGUG